rnacentral:lncRNA from 1 species
GGCUCUCCAGCCGAGUGAGCCGCUGUUUCAGCUUCAUCUGGGAGGCACUGUACUCAGCCAGGAGUCGGGCAAACCUCGUCUGCAGGAUGUCCAGGGACGACUCCAGAUAGUCAAACCACCGGAUAACCCGAGUCUCCAAGUCCUUGGUUACCUUCCGGAACUGCAUGUACUGCUUGACGGAGUCGAUCUUAGCCUGGAACUCUACCCGGGGAGCGUUCAUGUUGGAAAUCAUGGAGCCUACGUUGCCCACUAUGGUGGCAAAGAUCAGGAUACCCACCAGGAAGUCGAUGACCACAAAGAGAUACUCUUCAUCUUUCACGGGGGGUGGGGUCUCACCAAUGGUGGUCAGGGUCAGGGUGGACCAGUAGAGACUGUAAAUGUACUUCCGGGAGAGUCGUGCAUACUCCGGCUUGGAGGUGUUUGGAUAGACCCAGGAGUCUGUCCCAAAACCAAUGAACUUGGAAAUGGCAAAGUAGAUGCAGGCAUUCCAGUGGAUGAUGAUGAGUGUGUAAAGGACCAAGUUCCCUAUCCUGAACACGUUGGGGUAGUUGGUCCUUGUCUCUGUGCGGUCAAAGAAUUCAAAGAGCCGAGAGAACUUCAGGAGGCGGUUGAACCUCAGUUCUGGGUAGUUCACGCCCAACUUUAAAUAAGCCAGGUCUGUGGGGAUGAGAGACAGGAUGUCCAGCUUGAAGUGCAAGGUCUUUGUGUAAUGUUUCCACAGCCUCUUGGUAUCUCUGACCAUUAGGCCUUGCUCAAGGAAACCUAAGGACGGAGAAGGGGACAGUCACUUGGGCACCAAAGAGGCUUAAACUGCCUACACAACAGACGGUGGUGUGUAUCUGAGAGAAACAAUAUUAGACAUAACUAAUAUUAAUGUUGACAGUCACCCUGAAUUUUUCUAUAAUCUCUUCUGUUUAAUUUUGUUUUUUCUCUUCUGGGAAUGGAACCCAGGGCCUUGUAUAAGCUAGGGUUAUAUAACUGAGCUACUUCCCCAGUUAUCUAUUCAGGAUUAAAAAUUAUAAAUUAAUUGGGUAACUUUGAAAAUAGACUGGAUGUUAGAUGAAAGCAAGGAAUGAAGAUUAAAUUUUAACCGACAAACCCAUUAGAGAUUGUGUCGAGUGAGGGAGCACCAGCUUUCCUAAUGUUCUCUCUUUGUGUUUUGUAUGUACUUGAAAAUAUGAAUCAUCAAACUUCAAAAAUUCAGAUCAAAGCCUACCAAGCAGGCAUCACCAGUAGUAGUGUUCAGGGAAACAGUGCUGGGCUUGACCCCCAGAGCUUACGCCAUGAGGCACUUUUACAAGUUCAAGGUGUCUCGGCUGCUAGCACAAGACCUUUGCUGAAAAUGAAAAUUAAGGCUGUCAUCAUAUAUGACCCAUACAAGUUCUGAUACUCCUAGUCCUCAGGUUAUUCUUGUUCAAUAAUUGCCCUUCAGGAUCCAUAGAGCAACUGAUUCCAGGAUUCCUUAAUCUCUUUGUUUCCGAGGGAACCAGAAUCCUUAGAUGCUUAAGUAUCUUCCAUAGAAUGAUGUUACAUCUGCACAUUACCCAUACAUAUCCUCCUCUGAUUAUGUUAAAUCCUCUCUAGGUUUCUUAUAGUGCCCAAUACAUGUAGCAUAAAUGCUCCGAAGCCGUAUUGUGUUGUGUAGGGAUAAAUGACCAGGAGAAAUAAAACCUCUAAAUGUUCAGCUCAGAACGUUUUUUCCAAAU